GGUUCGAAUUGGCACAAAAUUUAAGAAAAAAAAUGAGAUGCAUGUAUAGACAGAAUUUUUGCCCAGAAAGUUCCUUUGUUCAUUUGUCAAUCAUGCCUAAACUAAUCAUCAAGAAAAGUCACACAACUAUUCAUUUUUUUCAAAAGUUGGGCUUAAGUCUUCUAACUUGAAAUUUACAAUCAAGUCAUACAACAUGAUGCCACUUUGAAUAAAAUUAGGCAGAAGUCUACAUCGAAGUAACUAUUCUUUUUUUUUAAUCAGAUUCUACUGAUGCGGAGUCACCUUCCACUCAAUAAAUAAGGCAGCCAAUGCAACCAACUCUACAAAGAUCCCUUCUCUCAUUUCUCUUCCUUCUUUCAUUCUAUGUAAAAUCAAGAACUAAGUAAACAUUUCAAGAUUUUGAUCAUGGGUACUUUGAGGGUACUUAUGUUCCCAUUUUUGGCUUAUGGACACAUCUCUCCAUAUCUAAACGUAGCCAAGAAACUCGCGGAUAGAGGAUUCUUGAUUUACUUUUGUUCUACGGCGAUCAAUCUCAAAUAUACCAUCAAGAAAAUCCCUGAAAAAUACUCUGAUUCAAUUCAGCUUGUCGAACUCCAUUUACCUGAAUUGCCUGAACUUCCUCCUCAUUACCAUACGACGAAUGGUCUCCCACCCCAUCUCAAUCACACACUUCAAAAGGCCCUGAAAAUGUCAAAACCAAACUUCGCAAAAAUCUUGCGCAGUCUGAAACCUGAUUUGGUCAUUUAUGAUGUAUUGCAGCAAUGGGCUGAAAGCGUCGCGAAUGAUCAGAACAUUCCAGCAGUCAAGAUGCUAACUUCUGGUGCAGCUGUGAUUUCAUAUUUUUUCAACUUACGAAAGAAACCCGGGGUUGAAUUCCCUUAUCCUGCUAUUUAUCUCACGAAAAUUGAGCAAGUAAAAGUGGGUGAAUUGUUGGCAAAAGCUGAUAAAGAGAAAGAACCUGAUGAUGUGGAUCCUUUUGCUGAUGGAAAUAUGCAAAUCAUGUUGAUGAGUACCUCUAGAGUUCUAGAGGCCAAAUAUAUUGAUUUUUUCACUGAAUUGGGCCAUUGGAAAGUUGUUCCUGUUGGUCCACCUGUCCAAGAUCCCAUAAUUGAUGAGGUGGAUGAUGUAGAGCUCAUUGAUUGGCUAGGAAUGAAAGAUGAGAGUUCAACUGUUUUUGUGUCCUUUGGGAGUGAGUAUUUCUUGUCGAAAGAAGAUAUGGAGGAAAUAGCUUUCGGGUUGGAGAAUAGUAAUGUUAAUUUCAUUUGGGUUGCAAGAUUUCCAAAGGGUGAAGAGCAAAAUCUUGAAGAUGUUUUACCAAAAGGUUUUCUAGAAAGAAUCGGAGAUAGGGGAAGAGUUUUGAACAAAUUUGCACCACAACCAAGAAUUCUAAAUCAUCCAAGUACCGGAGGAUUUAUAAGUCAUUGUGGUUGGAAUUCAAUAAUGGAAAGUAUGGAUUUUGGGGUUCCUAUAAUAGCGAUACCUAUGCAUCUUGAUCAACCAAUGAAUGCUAGGUUGAUGGUAGAAUUGGGAGUUGCAAUUGAGAUAGUUAGAGAUGAUGAUGGCAAAUUUCAUAGAGGAGAAAUUGCAGAAACUCUUAAAGAUGUCAUAACACGAAAACGAGGGGAAAUUUUGAGGGCCAAGGUGAGAGACAUCAGCAAGAAUUUGAAAUCAGUAAGAGAUGAAGAGGCUGAUGUUGUUGCUAAAGAGCUAAUUCAACUUUGUAAGGACAGUAAUAAGUGCAACUGAUGUGGAAUGGGAAAUUUGGAGCAAACAUCUAAUUCCGGUUCAACUGAUGAGAAUCUUGGAAUAGGAGUUACUAUUGAAGCCACCCAUCCACUGUAUUUAGCUUCCACAGGCACAAGUGGUAUAUCGUUGAUUUCAUUCCAAUUGGUGGGCACUGAAAACUACGGAUUAUGGUCAAGAUCCAUGAGAAUAACACUGCUGGGUCGCAACAAGCUGGGAAUUGUAGAUGAGUCAUGGAAAAAAAGAGAAGUUCCAUAAAAAAUAUGGUUAUCAAUGGGAACAUAGCAAUGUGAUUGUUCUUUCGUGGUUGAUGAACUCAGUAGCUCAAAAUUUGAUAAGUGGGUGGCUUAUGCUUCAAGUGUACACUCAGUUUGGGAAGAUCUUCAUGAAAGAUUUGAUAAAAUCGAUGGAUCCCACUCCUUCAAUGUUCACAGAGAUAUUGCAACUUUGAUUCAAGGUACUCUGUCCAUUCCUGUUUAUUAUUAAAAACUGAAAGAUUUGUGGGAUGAGUAUGAAACAUUAAUUCCCUUAACUGGUUGCAACUGUGAUAAGUAUAAGGAUUUCUUGAGUCAUUUGCGAAAAAAAAAGUUAUAUCAAUUUCUUAUGGACCUUAAUGAUUCAUAUAAUCAAGCAAUAAGCCAAAUCUUGUUCAUGAUCCCAUUGCCCAUUGUUAAUCAGGCAUAUGCAAUGUUAGUUAGUGAUGAAAAUCAGAAGAGUAUGACUGCUGCUAAUUUUGCAAUUCUUGGUGCAUCUCCUAGUCUUAAUUCAGGAAAUUGUCCUAGUAUUAAUUCAGGAAGUUAUGAAUCAACUGCCCUAUACAGUGCUAGAACAAGUGAUUCUAAAAAAUUCAAGAAAAACUCCAAUGUACAAUGUAGUUGUUGCAAGUUAAAGGGGCACACUAGGAAAAUUAGUACUAGAUUGUAGGGGAUCCUAAUGACUCAAGGUUCAAGAAAAAAAAGGGAGCUUCUAAUGGUUACACUCCUCAACUUACUGCUUACAACAUGAUUGCUGAAAAUCCAGUCAUGAAUUAUAGAGUUCCUGAGUUUACUUCUGGUGAAAGGGGACAGUACAAUUCACAAGCUUCAACUUCUCAGGGUCCUAAUACAAGUUCAAAGUCUGGUGGAAGUCAGAUGCCUUAUUUCUUUACUUCAGAUCAAUAUGCUCAAAUUCUGAAUUUGCUGAAUGAACCUCAAUCUACAUCAGUAGCUAACACUACAGGAUCUUUACAAUGGGAAGGUGAAAGCGAUUGGUAGAGAAAAGGAUGGGUUAUAUCUCUUAUCUUCAAGCUCUAGAAGCACAACAAAGGAUUUACGUUCUCUCGUUGCUAAAAGUUUUGUGAACUCUACUCCGUAAACUCUGUUAAUAAAACCAAAACCAGCCUUGAAUUGUGGCAUAAGAGGCUUGGUCAUCGAUCAUCUAAAGUUCUGCACAAACUAUUUCCUUCUACUCUUGAUAGUUGUAGUAGCAUUGUCAAAAAUUGUUUUGUCUGUCCAUGUGCUAAACAAGUGAGUUUACCAUUUCCAGCAAAUAGUAAGCAGAGUACUAGGUGCUUUGAAUUGUUACACAUCUUGAUAUAUGGGGACCUUAAAAAGUGGAGACAUAUGAUGGCAAUAAAUAUUUUUUGACAGUUGUAAAUGAUUUUUCUAGAAUGACAUGUCUAUUUUUACUUAAGCUCAAAUUUGAUAUGUGUGUUGUACUUAAGCAGUUUUUGUCUUAUGUGUUUACUCAAUUUGAGCAAAAGGUUAAGAUCAUUAAAUCAGAUAAUGGAACUGAGUUUGUUAACUUUGUACGUGCUUCUAUGUUUGAACAACUUGGUAUCUUACACCAAACAUCUUGUGUUUACACUCCUAAGCAAAAUGGUGUGUUGCUGAAAGGAAGCACAAGAGUGUAUUGGAGGUAUCCAAAGCUAUCAGAUUUUAGGGAUACAUUCCAAUAAGAUAUUGGGGUCAUUAUAUUCUUAUUUUUACAUAUCUAAUAAAUGGAAUGCCUUCCUUAGUGCUUAACUACAAAUCUCCUUAUGAGAUAUUAUACAAAGUUCCUCCUUCACGUAAACAUCUUAGAACUUUAGGAUGUUUAUGCUUUACCAAGACAAUAAAUGAAUUAGAUAAACUUAAAUCUAGAUCUAUUACUGCUGUGCAUAUGGGCUAUUGAAACUUUGAAAAAGGGUAUAUACUAUUUGACCUAUAGAAUCACUUAUUUUUAUCAGUAGAGAUGUUAAAUUUAGAGAAGAAGUAUUUCCAUUCAAGUCUGUUGAAAAAAAUAAACAGCUUCAUUUCUUAGAUGUUUUCUCCGAUCAAAUUCCACUUUACAAUGAUGAAGUACCAACUUCAAUAAGUGAUGAUCAAAAUGGCGAUUCAGUAGGUAGGAAUUAUUUGAUCAAGGUCCAGUUACAACCAUAUCAGUUGAUCCAAAUCCUCAAAUGCCUACUGCUACAUCUUAGUUGCCUGUGUUAAUAAGUGAAAUUUAACAUUUGUUCCAACAGAGUCCAGGAAGUCUUCAAGAACUAAAGCACCACCCAUUUGGAUGAAAGAAUGUCUUAACUUGGAAGAAGUCAAAAACUCCUUACAAUUUAGCAAACUACACAUCCUAUGAUCACCUACAUACCUCUUUUCUGUCACGACCUAAACUCAGGCCUAGCUGUGAUGGGCAAUCUCAAGACCACCAUGGGCUUGUGAUAACACCCUUAGCCUUACCUCAAGAGCAAAAUUAAAGUAAAUAGCAGAAGCCAACCAGAGUAAUAAGAAAUGUAGAUAAGUCAAAGGAGAAUCUAAGAGUCAACAAAACAACCAAAACAUCCCAAUACUGUCCACAAAAGUCUUUAAACUAGAAAUACAACUAAGUCGGGAUAUACCACCGACUAUAAAAAAAGAAUUCAAAGUACUAAGAAAAAAAAAGAAACCAAUGAAAUGAUUGGGCCUUCCGAAGAAUGGAGGCUCACUACUUCACAAUUGAUCGACAAAAGUACCCAACCACCUAACGUUGUAAAGGAGCAAUAGAAAAGUCCUCGGAGCCUACAUCAUGAAAUGAU